AGGUGGCACUGCGUCUCCCAUUUUGCCGGCCUUGGUAAAGGGGCUGGGGCACGGAACUUCUGCAACGCUGAGCUGAAGACGAGGAAAGCCAAUGUAGAACUUCGUGAGCAAGGGAAGAAGAUUCUUCGUAUUUAGAAUUUUUACCUCAUGUCAUACAUGAGCUCUGCGUGGGUUAAGGCGCUCAUCUCUAAAGGCACAGGACGGCCUCUCAGGAGAAUGAGCCCACGGAAGAGCGAAAACAUCGAGAAAUGAAAACCCUCUCCUCCUCAGAUGUCUGUUUUUAUUAAGAUUUCUUGACGCUCUGUCAUGGGGUGUGCUGGCUGAGGAAUUGUGCUUUGCACAAAAUUCGAAGUCGGGGUCAAAGAGAUGAAUCAGAUUGGUUGAAGACAACUGCUGUUUAAAUGAAAGCCUGUCAGCCAGCUGGACUAUUGGAAAGAUUUACCUGUCCUCAAUGUAGGACCGACUCAAAUAAGAAAAUUAGGACACCGAGUCCAAGAUUUCCUUCUUUAACAGUACUUCAGUAGGAGAGCCCCAGUGUUUAUUGAAGUGGAAGGCACAGCUCUUGUUGGAUUUGGAGUAUGGAGGAGAAACCUCACACAUUACGUCCUGCCUCCAGGUUCCUGCUUGAGUUCCUGCCUUGACUCUCUUCAAUGAGACGUUGUGAUGGGGGAAAUGUAAGCCAAAUA